rnacentral:lncRNA from 1 species
AGUUCUGAGAAAAUCAACCAGCCCCUGCAAGUCACAGCUCUGUGUCUCUAAGUGGACACCUGUCUGUCUUGAGGCAGUCAUCAUAUAAUACGCAUCACAUAGAUUUUAGUCAUAUGGAUUUUGAAACUCUGGAAACCAUAUGUCUGCAGCUCCCUUUCAUGACCAUGCUUGUGCUGGUUUAUCUGAUCUCCUCAGCUGUACCAGCUGCUGUGGCAUGAGCUUCUUGAGCUUCUCUUUUUAGAGCUGAUCAUUAUCUGGCGGAAGGUGUUAUUCUACUUUCUUUUGUUUCUAUGGUUUCUUUGUUUCUUUUUUUUUUAAUUUAACUUUUAUUUUUAGUUAAGGAGUACAUGUACAGGUUUGUUAUAUAGGUAAACUUGUGUCAUGCGGUUUUAUUGUACAGAUUAUUUCUGUACCCAUUAGUACCCACCCAAGUAUUAAGCCUUAGUACCCAUUAGCUAUUUUUCCUGAUCCUCUCCCUCCUCCCACCCUCCACCCUCAAGUGGACCCCAGUGUGUGUUGUUCCCUUCUGCGUGUCCAUGUGUUCUCAUCAUAUAACUCCUACUUAUAAGUGAGAACAUGUGGUAAUUGGUUUU